rnacentral:rRNA from 1 species
AGCAGCCGCGGUAAUUCCAGCUCCAAUAGCGUAUAUUAAAGUUGUUGCAGUUAAAAAGCUCGUAGUUGAAUUUCGGGAUCAAUCUAUCGGUCGUGCAAUAGUACGUACUGAUUUUAUUGAUUCCUCCCUUCUGAUGAACUAUGAUGUCAUUAAUUUGGUGUCAUAGGGAAUCAGGACUGUUACUUUGAAAAAAUUAGAGUGUUUAAAGCAGGCUCACGCUUGAAUACAUUAGCAUGGAAUAACGAAAUAGGACGUUUGAUUCUAUUUUGUUGGUUUCUAGGAUCGACGUAAUGAUUAAUAGGGAUAGUUGGGGGCAUUAGUAUUCAAUUGUCAGAGGUGAAAUUCUUGGAUUUAUUGAAGACUAACUACUGCGAAAGCAUUUGCCAAGGAUGUUUUCAUUAAUCAAGAACGAAAGUUAGGGGAUCGAAGACGAUCAGAUACCGUCGUAGUCUUAACCAUAAACUAUGCCGACUAGGGAUCGGAUGAUGUUAAUUUUUUAAUGUACUCAUUC